rnacentral:rRNA from 1 species
AAUCCUGGCUCAGGAUGAACGCUAGCGACAGGCUUAACACAUGCAAGUCGAGGGGCAGCAUGAUUUGUAGCAAUACAGAUUGGUGGCGACCGGCGCACGGGUGAGUAACGCGUAUGCAACUUACCUAUCAGAGGGGGAUAGCCCGGCGAAAGUCGGAUUAAUACCCCAUAAAACAGGGGUCCCGCAUGGGAAUAUUUGUUAAAGAUUCAUCGCUGAUAGAUAGGCAUGCGUUCCAUUAGG